rnacentral:rRNA from 1 species
AAUAGAUACCCUGGUAGUCCACGCCGUAAACGAGUGAAUGUUAGCCGUCGGGCAGUUUACUGUUCGGUGGCGCAGCUAACGCAUUAAACAUUCCGCCUGGGGAGUACGGUCGCAAGAUUAAAAACUCAAAGGAAUUGACGGGGGCCCGCACAAGCGGUGGAGCAUGUUGGUUUAAUUCGAAGCAACGCGCAGAACCUUACCAGCCCUUGACAUCCCGAUCGCGGAUUACGGAGACGUUUUCCUUCAGUUUCGGCUGGAUCGGAGACAGGUGCUGCAUGGCUGUCGUCAGCUCGUGUCGUGAGAUGUUGGGUUAAGUCCCGCAACGAGCGCAACCCUCGCCCUUAGUUGCCAGCGUUUAGUUGGGCACUCUAAGGGGACUGCCGGUGAUAAGCCGAGAGGAAGGUGGGGAUGACGUCAAGUCCUCAUGGCCCUUACGGGCUGGGCUACACACGUGCUACAAUGGUGGUGACAGUGGGCAGCGAGACCGCGAGGUCGAGCUAAUCUCCAAAAGCCAUCUCAGUUCGGAUUGCACU